ACAGCUUCAGCCUCGUUGCCAUGGACGACAAGGUCUGCCUCGUCGCCAUGGACGGCAAGGUCUGCCUCGUCGGGACGACCACACGCAGAGUUAUGCUUUGAAAGUGAGGAACAUGUAAAGAAGCUUCUCAAUCAAAUCUGGAGGAAGAAAUAUCAGAAGAAUGCCUCCCG